rnacentral:rRNA from 1 species
AUGAAAAAAACACAAGAGAAGCUUGGGAGGUUAAUGGCCGAUGAUCAACCACUGAACAAAGCAUUCAAAGAUUAUGUUGACAACAGCUUGAAUGUUGAGGAGUUUGAGGGAAAAUGGUGGAAGAUGCUGGGUGAUCAUGGGAAAAUGGACAACGAACAUUUCCAUUGGCUGUGGAAAAACAGGGAAUGCCGGGUCCCGGUGUACUACAUGCAUGACUUCUUCCCAUUCUUGCAGACAAUGGCAAGGAGCGAGGGAUUCAACCCUGUGUUGAAGAAGUACGUCAACCCAAAUAACUUGCUAGUAGAAUUUACAAAACAGUACACUGCAAUACAGGAGAAGGUGAUGGUGAGCAUGUCAAAAGAGCACUUGGAAACAAUGUACAAAGAGGUGGAAACAUACUCCUUCAACCCACUCGAGUUACAGGUGCAGGGCCUCUACACACAUAAUCUUUUCUCCAAAUUCCAGAUGAAGGUGAAAACUGGCUACAUAUGUGACAUGUUUGCAGGAUGGGUCUUUCAAGGUUGGCUCAGUUAG